AACAGUGUGUUACUGGCGAUCAUUGGAUCAGCAAAAGCAGACUCCAGUGAUGCUUGUCUUACUGAGAUACAUGACCUCAGCAUCUCUGUGAGCCAAUGAAAACAUUAAAAGACUGACUUCUACAAUCUUCCAGGAGUGAAUGUCAACACCAUGGAGUUCCAUCACCUGCCAAACGUUUAACAGCAGCAGCAGAUUAUGGCCCACAAACUGUUGACUGCUCAGCUUCCAGGAAUAAAUGUCAUCAGCUUUCAUGAUAUUUUGAAUAUAAUUGAUUAUUGACACCAUUAUCAAUAUAAAUUGUGGCCAAAGAAGUCAAUCAGAUGCACCUAAUAAAGUUAAAUGCACUAAAACAUGAAUAUCCCAGAUGGCUGAAUCCUUGAACAGAUAAUUAAGGUUGAGCUUUAAUUCCUUUCACUGGGAUUCAUCACUUCCUUAUAAAAUUUCAUUUUCUUGGUUGUUCAAUAGAAGAGUGACAAGAGGACACCACUGCUAUUCUCCAGAUUUUAGAGAAGAACAAAUGAACUUUUUUUUAACACAAUGAAGAGACAGCACCAACAUAUCUUGAACUUGGCAGAUGGAACUAGGCUACUGAUACUCUUUUAGUAAGGGGCAUGAAUGAAGCUGGAAACCAUCAUCCUCAUCAAGGUAGCACAGGAACAGAAAACCAAACACCGCUUUGGGUAUAUUUUUUAAGCAGCAACAAGAGAUUCAAUCACAAAUGAGUGGGAGAUGAUGAUUCCAAAGAUAAAAGAUAACCUAAUGUUCAAACUCCCAGAAAGCGGUGAAAUUCUGGGAGAAUUAACUUUGUAAAGGAGGGGACAAAGGGGAGCAAUAUUUUGUUCUGAGUAGGAUGAGAUACUAUUAACUUGGGAAAAGAAGUGAACAAGCAUGGUUGUAAGACAGGGAAUGCAAGAAUUUUCUGUUAAAUUAGGAAUUGAUAAUGAAAAAGAUAGAAAAAGAAUUGACAGUUUGAGAAAUGAAGAUACAGUUUA